ACACAAAUCUGUGGUCACUUUAAAGGCAGGGUUGGUAAUGUUAAAAAGCUAGCAAGAUUUGAAAAUAGCAUCUACUUAGGGCUCCGUCUAACCCCUCGACCUUCCCU